rnacentral:tRNA from 1 species
CCCGUGGUGUAGUGGUUAACAUGCCUGCCUGUCACGCAGGAGAUCGCCGGUUCGGCCCCGGUCGGGACCGCCA